rnacentral:rRNA from 1 species
AACGCGAAGAACCUUACCUGGGUUGAACUACGCAGGAAAAGCCGUAGAGAUACGGUGUCCGCAAGGGCCUGCGAUAGGUGGUGCAUGGCUGUCGUCAGCUCGUGUCGUGAGAUGUUGGGUUAAGUCCCGCAACGAGCGCAACCCUUGUCCUAUGUUGCCAGCGGGUAAUGCCGGGGACUCGUAGGAGACUGCCGGGGUCAACUCGGAGGAAGGUGGGGAUGACGUCAAGUCAUCAUGCCCCUUACGCCCAGGGCUGCACACAUGCUACAAUGGCCGGUACAAAGGGCUGCUAUCCCGCGAGGGUGAGCGAAUCCCAAAAAGCCGGUCUCAGUUCGGAUCGCAGUCUGCAACUCGACUGCGUGAAGUCGGAGUCGCUAGUAAUCCCGGAUCAGCAACGCCGGGGUGAAUACGUUCCCGGGCCUUGUA